rnacentral:lncRNA from 1 species
UCAACUUUUAAAGACCUAGCCUUCAACUUUUAAUGACCUGGCCAUUAACUAUUAACCACCUAGCCCUCAACUUUUAAUGACCUGUUCCUCAACUGUUGGCCAGGUAGCCCUCAAUCAACACUAAUUGCUCAACUGUUGGACACCUAGCCCUCAACUAUGAUAUUUUCUCAACAUUGCUCAACUAAUUUGCAUAAAGUUGAGCAUUGAUAGUUGAGAGCUACCUAAUUUGCAUGGCAAAAAUCCAGGUAGCCCUCAACUGGCCCUCAACUAUUUGCUCAACUGAUGGGCACCUAGCCCUCAACUGUUAGUUCAACUGGCGGCCAGUUGAGCAAUGCAGUUGGCCAUCCUAUCAUUUUUUUCCGUAUGGGAGCUGGCUAAUUAUAAAGUAUAUGUGUCAUUCUCAUUUAUGUAUGUAGUUAAACAUAUUAAUAUCUUUUGACAGAAUUCCCUAACAGGACAUUAAGAAGAUACAACAAAUACUAAUCAUAGAACAGUCAGUAGAUAAAAGGAUGCAAUUAAAGAACUUUAAAUGUCUUUAAAAU